rnacentral:rRNA from 1 species
UACGUAGGUGGCAAGCGUUAUCCGGAUUUACUGGGUGUAAAGGGCGUGUAGGCGGGGACGCAAGUCAGAUGUGAAAACCACGGGCUCAACCUGUGGCCUGCAUUUGAAACUGUGUUUCUUGAGUACUGGAGAGGCAGACGGAAUUCCUAGUGUAGCGGUGAAAUGCGUAGAUAUUAGGAGGAACACCGGUGGCGAAGGCGGCUUACUGGACCAUGACUGACGUUGAGGCUCGAAAGCGUGGGGAGCGAACAGG